GACGAACGCUGGCGGCGUGCCUAAUACAUGCAAGUUGAGCGCUGAAGGUUGGUACUUGUCCCACCUGGAUGAGCAGCGAACGGGUGAGUAACGCGUGGGGAAUCUGCCUUUGAGCGGGGGACAACAUUUGGAAACGAAUGCUAAUACCGCAUAAAAACUUUAAACACAAGUUUUAAGUUUGAAAGAUGCAAUUGCACCACUCAAAGAUGAUCCCGCGUUGUAUUAGCUAGUUGGUGAGGUAAAGGCUCACCAAGGCGAUGAUACAUAGCCGACCUGAGAGGGGGAUCGGCCACAUCGGGACUGAGAAACGGCCCAAGCCCCUACGGGAGGCAGCAGGAGGGAAACCUCGGCAAUGGACGAAAGGCUGACCGAGGAACGGCGCGGGAGUGAAGAAGGUUUUCGGAUCGUAAAACUCUGUUGGUAGAGAAGAACGUUGGGGAGAGUGGAAAGCUCAUCAAGUGACGGUAACUACCCAGAAAGGGACGGCUAACUACGUG
rnacentral:rRNA from 1 species